GGAUUAGAUACCCUGGUAGUCCACGCUGUAAACGAUGUCAACUAGCCGUUGGGGAUCUUAGUAUCUUUAGUGGCGUAGCUAACGCGCUAAGUUGACCGCCUGGGGAGUACGGUCGCAAGAUUAAAACUCAAAUGAAUUGACGGGGGCCCGCACAAGCGGUGGAGCAUGUGGUUUAAUUCGACGCAACGCGAAGAACCUUACCUGGUCUUGACAUCCUGCGAACUUGGAAGAGAUUCCUUGGUGCCUUCGGGAACGCAGUGACAGGUGCUGCAUGGCUGUCGUCAGCUCGUGCCG
rnacentral:rRNA from 1 species